AGUGGCGAACGGUCGCGUAACACGUAAGCAACCUGCCCUGAAGUGGGGGACAACAUCCCGAAAGGGGUGCUAAUACCGCAUGUGGUCACGAGUCGGCAUCGACUUGUGUCUAAAGAUUUAUCGCUUCAGGAUGGGCUUGCGGCCUAUCAGGUAGUUGGUGGGGUAAUGGCCUACCAAGCCGACGACGGGUAGCUGGUCUGAGAGGACGAUCAGCCGGAUUGGGACUGAGAUACGGCCCAGACUCCUACGGGGGGCAGCAAUUAGGAAUCUUGCGCAAUGGGGGAAACCCUGACGCAGCGACGUCGCGUGAAGGAUGAAGGCCCUCGGGUCGUAAACUUCUUUUGAGUGGGAAGAAACUUGACGGUACCACUCGAAUAAGCCCCGGCUAACUACGUGCCAGCAGCCGCGGUAAUACGUAGGGGGCGAGCGUUGUCCGAAGUUACUGGGCGUAAAGCGCGCGUAGGCGGUUAUUUAAGUCUGGGGUGAAAGGUUCAGCGCUCAACGUGAACAGUGCCUUGGAUACUGGAUGACUUGAGUCUGGGAGGGGGAAGGGGAAUUCCUGGUGUAGCGGUGAAAUGCGUAGAUAUCAGGAGGAACACCGGUGGCGAAGGCGCCUUCCUGGCCUAAGACUGACGCUGAGGUGCGAAAGCGUGGGGAGCGAACGGGAUUAGAUACCCCGGUAGUCCACGCCGUAAACGAU
rnacentral:rRNA from 1 species